rnacentral:tRNA from 1 species
GCCGAAGUGGUGGAAUCUGGUAGACACGCUGUCUUGAGGGGGCAGUGGGCGACGCCUGUGCGGGUUCGAGUCCCGCCUUCGGCACCA